GCGAAAGCGUGGGGAGCGAACAGGAUUAGAUACCCUGGUAGUCCACGCCGUAAACGGUGGGUGCUAGCUGUGGGCCACAUUCCACGUGGUCCGUGACGAAGUUAACACAUUAAGCACCCCGCCUGGGGAGUACGGCCGCAAGGCUAAAACUCAAAGGAAUUGACGGGGGCCCGCACAAGCGGCGGAGCAUGCGGAUUAAUUCGAUGCAACGCGAAGAACCUUACCAAGGCUUGACAUAUAGAGGAAAAGUACAGAAAUGUACUCCCCGUAAGGUCUCUAUACAGGUGGUGCAUGGUUGUCGUCAGCUCGUGUCGUGAGAUGUUGGGUUAAGUCCCGCAACGAGCGCAACCCUCGUCCUAUGUUGCCAGCACGUUAUGGUGGGAACUCAUGGGAUACUGCCGGGGUCAACUCGGAGGAAGGUGGGGAUGACGUCAAAUCAUCAUGCCCCUUAUGUCUUGGGCUUCACGCAUGCUACAAUGGCCGGUACAGAGGGCUGCAAUACCGUAAGGUGGAGCGAAUCCCAAAAAGCCGGUCUCAGUUCGGAUUGAGGUCUGCAACUCGACCUCAUGAAGUCGGAGUCGCUAGUAAUCGUAGAUCAGCAACGCUACGGUGAAUACGUUCCCGGGCCUUGUACACACCGCCCGUCAAGUCACGAAAGUCGGUAACACCCGAAGCCGGUGGCCCAACCUUUUGGAGGGAGCCGUCUAAGGUGGGACUGGUAAUUGGGACUAAGUCGUAACAAGGUAGCCGUACCGGAAGGUGCGGCUG
rnacentral:rRNA from 1 species